rnacentral:rRNA from 1 species
CAGUAGCCGCGGUAAUACGUAGGGUGCAAGCGUUAAUCGGAAUUACUGGGCGUAAAGCGUGCGCAGGCGGUUAUAUAAGUCAGAUGUGAAAUCCCCGGGCUCAACCUGGGAACUGCAUUUGAGACUGUAUGGCUAGAGUGUGUCAGAGGGGGGUAGAACUCCACGUGUAGCAGUGAAAUGCGUAGAUAUGUGGAGGAAUACCGAUGGCGAAGGCAGCCCCCUGGGAUAACACUGACGCUCAUGCACGAAAGCGUGGGGAGCAAACAGGAUUAGAUACCCCGGUAGUCCCUGUCUCUUAUAC